UAUUUCAACUUCAUGCUAGUAAAAUAUAAUAUACUGUAUAUACACAUAUAUAUAUACAUAUACAUACACAUAUAUAUACACACAGACACACACACACACACACACACACACAGUAUAUAUACAGUAUAUAUAUAUUUCUUCUUGUUAAAUUAUAUCUUUAGAACGUGAGCAAAUAAAAAAAAAACCAGCACAUUUUGGACAUCCCUGCCCUAAUUGAAUGCCUGAGCUCUGCCGCCACCUUGUGUUCGACCGUAGUACUGCAGUGGUUCGCUCUCUCUGUCUCGCUCUCACCUGUUGGAGUAAAAGAUGACGUCGAUGAGCGUGGUGGCGAUGGAGGGCAGCGUGGCCGGGUCCAGAGACAUGACGCAGAACUGGUUAAGGGGGAUGAGCACCGGGUGAAGUGUCGGCUGAAUGGCUGAAAGCACAACAUCUAUAUGGCCGUUGGAAAGGUCCUGACCGUGGACGAGGAGCGACUCUCCUCCCACCUCCCUGUAGAUGUUGAACUCCUCCUCCAGAGUGCUGACCACCACCGACAAGUCCUUCUCUCUCACCUGCGCACACACGUCAAGUGAAGGACACCUCACCAGGAUGAAGUCGGUCUGGUACGUGGACAGCAUGAAGACGGAGACGUGCUGCUGGGCCAGCGGCGCGAUGACGGACUUGGCGAUCUUGGUCACGCCCACCGCCUGCGAGCUGACGGAGGCGUUGGCGUUGGAGACCACGUUGAGCGGCAGCCACACGGAGCUCUCCACCUGGAGGUGCUCCGAGGGGCGGAGCUCUGCGAGGGAGGCGCAUACAGUAUGUGACAAAUUAAUUCACGGGACCUUUAGGAGGAUACUGUGGUGAGGUUUAAUAGUUUAUGACUGGAAGCGUACAAGAAUGUUGGAGACUUUCUUUACCUUUGAAGCCCUCCUCAUCCAACACGACGGUGUAGUUCUCAGGAGUCUCGGUCAAACUGAAGAACUUACAUCUGAAAUAAAGCAGAGAGGACCGGGCCAGGAAGUGAGGGUGGCGGGGCAUAUGGAAGAACAGAAGUGUUAUUCAUUUGCAUACUUGGAAAAAAAAGGAGAGUCGCUCCGACAAAGCCAACAUUUACCAGGAACGAACUAAAUGGGGGUUCUGUGAAAUGUACACACGGGCUGGAGCCAGUCCCACACAAAAAAAAAACUCCUCUUUGUUUGUCUGCUGGCUCCCAGUCCAAACUUCAGCGUGGUGCAUUCAAAGAAACUUGGCAACGUCAGCGCUGACCCCGUUGAGACGCGAUGUUGUGCAUCACGAAGGCUCAAUGACUAACUCAAUGACAACCACGCUGGUUAAAUAUUAGGAAGAGUCGCUUCCACUUUCCCACCCUUGCGCAUUUUCCCCACUCACAGAACCGAACAAUUGUUGAUUAUUUGUGUCAUGAAGCGAUGGCAACCAGCGAGGCGCUGCGACAUGAGCUAUGCUCUGACAGUGGAAACCGUUUAUGUCAACGACCCCUGGACUAACUGACUGACAUCGGCAUAAACGGCUGUCGACCUAUCCAAAGUCGAAACCAAAACUAGCCAUUGCUUGCACAUUCACUUGCGACACUGGCAACGAACCCAUUUUUCAUACAAAUGAUCCCUUUGGGUCUCAAAUUUUAUGUCAACAUAAGCAGUUGUCAACAUAAGCAGCAUAGAAUCUAAAACUAACCAUUGCUUGCACGUUUACUUGUGACUUUGGCACGUUGACAACUGAGCCAGUUUUCAUAGAGGUGACCCCUUUGGCUUUCACAUUUUAGGUAGACAUAACUGGUUGUCAACAAAAGCGGAAUAGAAACUGGCCAAAGCUUGCACAUUUACCUGUGGCUUUUGCAUGUUGGCAUAAACUCACCUAUUUUUCAUAAAAACGACCACCCCACGCUUAGAUCCCAAAGUACGACAUCAGCUAUGCUAUGACUGUGGAACCCGUUUAUGUCAACGCCCAUUAGGCUAACUGACUGACGUCAGCAUAAGCGGUUGUUGACAUAUCCAAAAUGGAAACCAAAACCAGCCACUGCUUGCACAUUCACUUGCGACACUGGAAACCCAUUUUUCAUACAGAGCUGCAACUUUAGUGUGAACUAUCUUGUUUCAAGUCAUUUCCUUCCUUCCUGUCUGCUCUCUGCACCACCUAGUGGACUGGAACAUGCUCCAUGGUCGAGGUUUCAUGUGCAUGGGGAAUAAUCUGUUUAUUUACGUCGACUUGAUCGCUAAAAUUCGAAUUUCAGUAUCGGACAAAUGCUAAAAAAAUAAGAUGCACCACAAUUUUUUUGAGCCUUGGCAGAGGUCUGUGCUGUACUGAGUGACAUUGUAGUUAUAGACUGAAGUAUUGCUAUAACACAGC